CAGCUCUUCUUCCUCCCUGGUAAGGGAAUCACGUUGAAAAUCAAAACGGGGAGAAGAGAGAGAGAGCUCCAAACCCUUGUCCAACUUCAAUCUUCCAUAUCUUUUGAUCCGGAGCUCCGAUUGACGAGCCGUCAGCAGCCACGCGUUUGUCUUGAAAUUUGCUACAAUGCCCACUAACCAAUUUGGUUCGAAUUAGCUCGCAAAAAUUAGCGAGUUUUUGUUUAUUUGAGACACAGGUAAGAAUUAGAUUGAAUAAUAUUGAAUCGGAGUAUAUUGAUGAUGUUGGGAGCUUGAUUGUUGGACCUUGGUGGCCAAAAAUUCUGUUUGGAGAGGCUUUGGGGCUGUGGACUCUUGAGAAACGACCUUAAGAUGUCUUUGGAUUUUACGAGGAAUUGGCUAAGGACUCGUGUAUGCGAGUGUACAUGCGACGCAACCAUUUGGUUCGGCCAGACGUGCUUGCGUACGCAGGAGUAUGUCGCGUACGCGAGAAGAAGAAAAUUCAUAUGCCGCAUACGCGGGCGCAUGCACGCGACAUGAGCUAACCUUUCGGGCCAAGGAGACUCGCGUACGCGAGUUGGGAGAAACACACUUCUGCGUACGCAUUACAUGGUUCGCAUACGCGGGGCGCUAUUUUUCAGUAAUUGGAAGUUUUGUGUUUUAAACAUGUUUUGAGCCUCUAAACCUCUAUUUCUAUCCUCUAAGACCCUAAACCUUAGUUGUAAUGAUAGAAAAAGGGGUUGAACUAUGAAGGGAUAUUAACUUGGAAGUAAAGAAAUGUUUGAAGUAAUAAAUUGUGGUUGGGAAAGUGCAGGAUUGAUGAUGAUGUAUGAUUAAUGACAGGAUUGAGAAUGAUAAGGUUUUAAAUUGUGAUGUGAUUAAAUUGAGAGGUGAAUGUUGAGAUUAGCACUAAUUGAGUAUGGCCGGAAUGGUCGAGAUAGCAAGAUCUGAGUGUGAUCCUACCUGUGAGUUAACUGAAAACUUUAUCGAGUGGCAAGUUCAUCGAUGAAGGAUCCCCUCUCUUGUCGUGACGUGGAUGUGGAGAAGGUGGAAAGGCACGCUCCUUCGAUGUGAAAAGGAACUCUCCUUCGUAUUGUUUCACCCUUCGUAACGUGGAUGUGGAAAAUGUUUGAGAGAAGACUUGCUACUAAUCAAAGCAAUGGCAAGAAGAUAUGGUGGUUCUGUGUGAAAUUCAUAUGUGAAAAAUAGGUGUUCUUAUGUGAGUUCUUGAGUGCUGUAAAAAAUGUUACAGCUGAAGUAUAAGGAGUAGAAAAUAAUGUUGUCCAAUUUAUUUUUGAAGAAGCAAUAACAUCAGUAGAGGAGUUUGUCAUUGUCAUCACGAGUCAAAUCUUGGUACACUGGUCAACAAACAAAAACCUCAAAAAUUAGCAUCUCAACUUUGAACGAAAUAGGUUGAUGAACCUAAUAAAGCAUGGAGUAUUAAGAUACUUUAGCCACCUGAAUAAGUAGAGAAGUAUUGCAAGAGUAUCAGAAACUAUGAGGGUAACAUGGUAUAAUAAUUUUUAAUUUUAUCAAAGAAAGGUAGUAUACAUGGUUGAAAUUAAAGGGAUGUAAAUUAGGAUUGUUAUUUUCUACUAUAUAUGGUAUAUAAAGUGAGAUGUUUAAUUACUCUCAACUUGGAACCAGGAGUCUAGAAUUAGGUACACUAUUCGACAGAAGUGUAUGGAACAAUGGCUUAUAUAUAUGAGGUUGUUUGGUGUUAGCAAAGAAAGAUGUCAUUAGAGGGUGUUAAGAGGAGAUAUUGCAUUUGAUGUGAAUAGCUUCAAUUAUUAUGAGUAUUAAUUUCUGCAGGAAGGUGAGAUAUGAAUAUUUGAUUUGGCAUUUAUCAUUGAAAAUCUAUGAAAUUUUUGGAAGGUGAAAUUAAA